UACGUAGGGUGCAAGCGUUAAUCGGAUUUACUGGGCGUAAAGGGCGCGCAGGCGGCUCAUUUUGUCAGGCGUGAAAGCCCCGGGCUUAACCUGGGAACUGCGUUUGAUACGGAUGGGCUAGAGUUCGGGAGAGGAGAGUGGAAUUCCCAGUGUAGAGGUGAAAUUCGUAGAUAUUCGCAAGAACACCAGUGGCGAAGGCGGCUCACUGGCCCGAUACUGACGCUGAGGCACGAAAGCGUGGGGAGCAAACAGG
rnacentral:rRNA from 1 species